rnacentral:misc_RNA from 1 species
CUCCCAUAUGGUACUACUGCUCUUCCUCUUCUCGCCUUCUCUAUAACUAAUUUAACUAACUUUUUAACGGUCUUUGCUUAACUGCAUGUCUUUCUUUCCUUCUCCUUGUAGAUACUUCUUACUACAUAGACUGCGGCGGCUCCACUAAAUCUAUCGACCCCUUCAACACCACCUGGCUCUCCGACCGCUUCUUCACUGGCGGCCUCACUUCCGUCGUCUCUGAGCCCCUCCACUUCCGCUUCCCUCGAGAGAAGACCCUCCGUUUCUUCCCUCUCUCCUCUGGCAAGAAGAACUGCUACAUUCUUCCACUUCCAAAUGGCCGUUACUACAUCCGUACUUUCACCGUCUAUGAUAACUACGACGGUAAGUCUCAUUCUCCGAGUUUCGAAGUCUCCGUUGAAGGUACUCUUGUUUUCUCCUGGCGCUCCCCCUGGCCCGAGAAUCUCGCUCGUGACGGCGCUUACUCUGAUUUAUUCGCGUUUGUUAAAGAUGGAGAGGUGGAUAUCUGUUUUUACAGCAUUGCCACUGAUCCUCCUGUGAUCGGCUCUCUCGAAAUCCGUCAAAUCGAUCCGCUGUCGUAUGAUUCUGCCAAAAUCGGCAACAAUUUCAUCCUCGUCAACUAUGGCCGUUUAUCCUGCGGCUCCGUACAAUGGGGACCAGGGUUAAGCAACGAUACCGAUGACUUCGGCCGCUCCUGGCAGUCCGAUUCGGAAUUUCGAUCUCCAAGCACCUCAAACAAAUUCCAUUCCUUCUCCACCCGAGAAAAAAUAACCGGCACGGGUCAGGCCCCGAAUUACUUCCCAAUGAAGCUUUACCAGAC